rnacentral:lncRNA from 1 species
GGGAUCACCCUGCAAUCUAACCAGAAGCAUGCAAAAAAAAAAAUUGGGGGCCAUCCUCUUAGCCAAUCCUUUGCAUACCCACCACCUCUUCCGAAUGGAGCCCCAUGUAAAAAAAACAAAAAAAAAACAAAACAAAACUAGGGCAGCUUUGUGGAUCUCACCACGCGUCUUUUCCUUGAAAUUCAUCAACCCAUAAUCUCAAGAUUGGGGCAACUUUGUGAAUCCCACUUGAAAUUUUCAUCCUAUUUUUCAUAGAUCCAAACCCCACGCACCUUUUCCCUAACACCAAACUGGGGAACCUUUUAGGUAUCUCAUAAUUUUCUUUGGUACUCACAUACUACAUCCCCUUUAAGAAGUGUAUGAAGUGAUGUGCCCGCAUGGCUAUCCCAUUCUCUUCCAAACCAUUCUAAACAUCUGUCAUUCUCUUCAAAACCAUUCUCUU